CGGCCUCUCUUGGGUCAAAGGUCACGAAGACGCAGAUCAAACCCACCCGGCUUCAUGUCCCUCUGCACCACCUGCAGCACAUGCUCCGCCUCGUCCGCCGUCAGCCCCGACAGAUCCAACUUCUUGCCCAUAGCUAACCUCCACCCAACCCCCCCCCCCCCGCUUUGAUCCUUCUGCUCGGUGUGGUCCUCUGAAGAAGUGAAAUGGAAGAAAGAAAAGAAUCUCCUUAAGAUCUGCAGGAGACGUUCUGGGAAGGACUCCAAGGGAAGGAAGCAGAUAAAUCCGCUAAACUUCCCAGAAGUUGAUGUCAAGAGAGUCUAUAAAGACCUGUGUGGAUCCAACUCUCCACUUUACUCACCAUGAAGAAGAGCGUGCUGCUGGUCCUGUUGUCUCUGCAGGUCCUUCUGCUCAUCACAGCCUUCUCGUCUGCUGAUGGAGCCUCCACAGGGAUCCGUCCCCAGCAGCCUGCUGCUGAGACACGUUCCAAAUCCAGAGUGAGAACAGGAUUCCUCAGCAUGAUUUCAGGGAAGGUUCGUCCUUCUGAUGAUGGAGCUUCCAGAGAUAUCGUUCUUUCUGCUGCUGAGGAGGACGGCGUGGAAAGUCUAAAUGAGAAACCUUGCGACUGCAGAGGGAGACCAGGAUGCAAUAGCGCAAUUUCAGGCAUUGGUCCUCCUUCUACACCUCCUCCUCCUAGUACACCUCCUCUAACUACACCUCCUUCUCCCCCAGAAUCAUAACGGUUUUGUGGAAAUCCCUCAUCGAGAGAGAUGGACAGAGAUCUCCGUUCUGUGAUUUGGUUUAUUAUGAUUCUCCUUAUCAGCUACUUCCAGGGAUAUGAGUCCUGGUGAUGUCACAUGUGCACUGCUUUCAUUUGAUCAUCUGUAAUAAAAUGGCACUGCUAUUGAAACGCUUGUAAAGUUCAUUUGUGUUUAUGACACGACAGAUUACGACAGAAGGAAAACAAGAACUUCAGGGUGUCUCGUGUAACUAUUUCUUGGUAAUUUUACAUCGUCACUGACUGGUUUAGUGACACACAUUGCAUCACAUUGUGGGUUUUACCACCGAAAGAAGUUGAAAUGUCACAAAGCUUAUUUUAUUUGUUCCUUAGUGAAAAGUUUUUAGGUCACUUUAUGCAGAAUAAACAACACAUUUAGUAUUCAGACACUGCAAUGAAAUACUUUUCCUCUUGGGCUGUAUAACUACAUUAUGAGGUUCAAUUGGGCUGGUUUUAAAAAUGAGUAAAUAUGUGUACACCUGAUUGUUCCUGUUGUGACUUGUGUUGAUUUGAAUCAUAUCCAGGGUGUUGCAACCAAAGGCGAUUAAUACAAACCUGUUUGAUAGGCGCACGGUUUUAUGACGGGCCGACAUGAGAGAUUACGACAGAAGGAAAACAAGAACUUCCGGGUGUCUCUGACAUGAUGAAACUGGACUUGUGAAAUCAUCUCAAAUCGUCCUUUGUUUACGUGGAAGUGAUCAAACACCAGCGAGUAUUUCAAGGUCGUCGUGUUCAGAGCUCUUCACACGCGCCAUGGACAAAGGUGUGCCGCUGGUCACAGGCUCCACAGGGAUCGAUCCUCAGCAGCCUGCUGCUCAGGAGGGCAACGUGGAAGAAACUGAAAAGAAACGGGUUCCAUUGUCCAACUGGAGAGGGAGACCAGGAGGCCUUAGCGGGAUUUCAGGCCUUAAGCACCCGGUAAGGAGAAGCACAGCCCCCCCCUUUCUAUGUUGUGUCUUUGAGGAUCCUCACAGGACCCCCCAGUAGACCCUCUGAUCUACUGGAGUAAAUUUAAAACCUUUCAUCUGUUUUUUGAUGGUUUUCUCCUCGUUAAAUGUGUUUUGGGGAGGGAUAUUUUUCUGAUCCCAUGUAAAAUUUGCGGGACGAAGUUCAUCUUCAAAACUUUCAUUGGCCAAAUUUCUUUGAGCAAAUAGGUGAGUCUGAAAAGUUCCCAUUCUCUUUAUUACAGGAUCAUCAUUUUGAUGAUGCAGCCUUCAUAGAGAUCGAUCUUCCUGCUGCUGAGGAUGACAAGAAAAUAUCUGGAAACAAAGGGAAUAAACCUCCCAACUGCAAAGGGAGACCAGGAGCCUGUAGCGUGAUUGCAGGGAAGGUCCAACCUCCUUCUCCUCCUCCUACUCUUCUCCCAGAAUAAGAAGAAGCACAGCCCCCCCUAUGUGUGUUGUGUCUUAAAGGCACAGGACCCCGAUCUCCCGUCCUCUGCUCUACUGGACAUGAACGCUGCACUAGAAGCCCAGGGAUAUGAGUCCUGGUGAUGUCACUGCUCCGUCACAUGUGCACGGCUUUCAUUUGAUCAUCUGUAAUAAAAUGGCACUGUUAGUGAAACGCUUGUAAUGUUCAUUUGUGUUCAUGGCGGAUGAGAUGAAGAGCCGUGAAGAAGACAGCCUUUAAAUACUCGCUGGUUUACAGUUCACGUAAACAAAGGAGAAUGUGAGAUGAUUUCACAAGUCCAGUUUCAUCAUGUCAAAGAAACCCUGAAGUUCUUGUUUUCCUUCUGUCGUAAUCUCUCGUGUCAGUGAUAAAACCGUGCCCCUAUUCAUUAUGAACAGCUGUGUAUUGAUCCCCUGUGGUUGCAUAGACCACCCUAGAUAUGAUUGGAAUCAACAUAAGUCAUGACAGGAAAAAACAUGUCUACACAAAGGUAUAAUUCAUGCGAUCUGUUGAUGACAACUGGGGUUACAGAGUGUUGUAACACGCUUUUGAAAUCCUCUAAAGAGUAGUAACAUUUAUAUGAGUAACAUAUGUCAGCAAAAUAGUUGCACAGUUGUAUUUUUCCACUUUGUAUUUCUGGAGACAGUGAACACUGAUUGACUCCAUCUAGUGGACUCAUUAUGCAGCCCUACUUAUUCUGUUGAUUGAAACUACAGCUGAUGACAUCUAUAACAAGUUUGCAGGAAUGUAUUCACUCCAUAAUUCCUUUGUCCGGUUGAUGUGCUGUAUGUCCACUGCUGCAUCAGGUUUUUGAAUGAGCAAAGUGUAACAUUGCUAUUUGAAAGCUGUUCUUACAGUGGUUUGCCUCCUUCUCUCGUUCUACUAACCCCUUCCAAAACAUCUGCAUGUUCAGAUUAUUUAAAAUCAACCAGCCCAAUUGAACAUUUUAAUGUAGUUAUACACACCAGAAAAGUAUAAUUGGAGCAUCUAAAUAAGAAGUUUAUUCUGCGUCAGUCCGCCUUAAAACUUUCC